AACGAACGCUGGCGGCAGGCUUAACACAUGCAAGUCGAACGCAUCGCAAGAUGAGUGGCAGACGGGUGAGUAACGCGUGGGAACAUACCCUUUUCUACGGAAUAGCUCUGGGAAACUGGAAUUAAUACCGUAUACGCCCUACGGGGGAACGAUUUAUCGGGGAAGGAUUGGCCCGCGUUGGAUUGGCUAGUUGGUGGGGUAAAGGCCUACCAAGGCGACGAUCCAUAGCUGGUCUGAGAGGAUGAUCAGCCACAUUGGGACUGAGCCACGGCCCAAACUCCUACGGGAGGCAGCAGGGGGGAAUAUUGGACAAUGGGCGCAAGCCUGAUCCAGCCAUGCCGCGGGAGUGAUGAAGGCCUUAGGGUUGUAAAGCUCUUUCACCGAUGAAGAUAAUGACGGGAGUCGGAGAAGAAGCCCCGGCUAACUUCGUGCCAGCCGCCGCCGUAA
rnacentral:rRNA from 1 species